rnacentral:tRNA from 1 species
UCAUUUUUAUUAUAAAAAAUAUAUUAAAUUUAGAAUUUAAAGAUUUUUAAAAUGAU